GCGGGAGAGCUCUUGCACACGGCACGACACGACGCGGAGUUUAAUCUCUAUUAAUAAAUACUCGGUGUGUCUGGUCCCUCCGGUCGGAAUAGAGAGCACAGAACAAGAGAGUACUUUCAAGGAUCUCUAAUUUUUGAAUCCACCACACCACCUGUUUUAUCAAUCUAUAUGAUGCUAUAGAGAAGCGUUAUAUUACAGUAUAGUAUUGUCGAGGAUAGGAAGUAAGACUCGACAAUAAAAGGGUGCCUUGAGAGGACAGUGUGGGAUCUAAGAAAAAGUCAUGCGGGAAACGAUGACGUAGCUCUUAUGGGGA